GAUGAACGCUGGCGGCGUGCCUAAUACAUGCAAGUCGAGCGAACGGACGAGGAGCUUGCUUCUCUGAUGUUAGCGGCGGACGGGUGAGUAACACGUGGAUAACCUACCUAUAAGACUGGGAUAACUUCGGGAAACCGGAGCUAAUACCGGAUAAUAUUUUGAACCGCAUGGUUCAAAAGUGAAAGACGGUCUUGCUGUCACUUAUAGAUGGAUCCGCGCUGCAUUAGCUAGUUGGUAAGGUAACGGCUUACCAAGGCAACGAUGCAUAGCCGACCUGAGAGGGUGAUCGGCCACACUGGAACUGAGACACGGUCCAGACUCCUACGGGAGGCAGCAGUAGGGAAUCUUCCGCAAUGGGCGAAAGCCUGACGGAGCAACGCCGCGUGAGUGAUGAAGGUCUUCGGAUCGUAAAACUCUGUUAUUAGGGAAGAACAUAUGUGUAAGUAACUGUGCACAUCUUGACGGUACCUAAUCAGAAAGCCACGGCUAACUACGUGCCAGCAGCCGCGGUAAUACGUAGGUGGCAAGCGUUAUCCGGAAUUAUUGGGCGUAAAGCGCGCGUAGGCGGUUUUUUAAGUCUGAUGUGAAAGCCCACGGCUCAACCGUGGAGGGUCAUUGGAAACUGGAAAACUUGAGUGCAGAAGAGGAAAGUGGAAUUCCAUGUGUAGCGGUGAAAUGCGCAGAGAUAUGGAGGAACACCAGUGGCGAAGGCGACUUUCUGGUCUGUAACUGACGCUGAUGUGCGAAAGCGUGGGGAUCAAACAGG
rnacentral:rRNA from 1 species